GCCUGGCUGGCUCAGUCAGUAGAGCAUGUGACUCUUAAUCUCAGGGAUGUGAGUUCUAGCCCUACCUUGGGUG
rnacentral:tRNA from 1 species